AGUGAACGCUGGCGGUAGGCCUAACACAUGCAAGUCGAACGGCAGCACAGGAGAGCUUGCUCUCUGGGUGGCGAGUGGCGGACGGGUGAGGAAUACAUCGGAAUCUACUUUUUCGUGGGGGAUAACGUAGGGAAACUUACGCUAACACCGCAUACGACCUACGGGUGAAAGCAGGGGAUCUUCGGACCUUGCGCGAUUGAAUGAGCCGAUGUCGGAUUAGCUAGUUGGCGGGGUAAAGGCCCACCAAGGCGACGAUCCGUAGAUGGUCUGAGGGGAUGAUCAGCCACACUGGAACUGAGACCCGGCCCAGACUCCUAGCGGAGGCAGCAGUGGGGAAUAUUGGACAAUGGGCGCAGGCCUGAUCCAGCCAUACAGCGUGGGUGAAGAAGUCCUUCGGGUUGUAAAGCCCUUUUGUUGGGAAAGAAAUCCAGCUGGUUAAUACCCGGUUGGGAUGACGGUACCCAAAGAAUAAGCACCGGCUAACUUCGUGCCAGCCGCCGCCGUAA
rnacentral:rRNA from 1 species